ACUACAUACAUCGAAGGACGAUUCUACAGAGAACUUAAUCAAGAAUCUGAUGAAGAUCGUGAAAGAUUUACCAUAAAUAUUGAAAAUAAUAGAGGACGACUCCCAUCUAGUUCAGUGUCUAGAGUAAGAUUCUGGCUAGCAAAUUUGUUUGGGCAGAAUUCAGCUGCAAGCACU